AACGAACGCUGGCGGCAUGCCUAACACAUGCAAGUCGAGCGGAGCGGCGGACGGGUAAGUAAUGCCUAGGAAUCAGCCUGGUGGUGGGGGAUAACGUCCGGAAACGGGCGCUAAUACCGCAUACUAGCAGAUGACCUUAGGUCGGAUUAGCUAGUUGGUGGGGUAAAGGCCUACCAAGGUGACGAUCCGAAACUGGUCUGAGAGGAUGAUCGGUCACACUGGAACUGAGACACGGUCCAGACUCCUACGGGAGGCAGCAGUGGGGAAGAUUGGGCAAUGGGGGAAAGCCUGAGCGAGCCAUGCCGCGUGUGUGAAGAGGGUCUUCGGAUUGUAAAGCUCUUUAAGUUGGGAGGCGUUACCAACAGAGAAAGCACCGGCUAACUACGUGCCAGCAGCCGCGGUAAUUC
rnacentral:rRNA from 1 species